rnacentral:rRNA from 1 species
AUAGACGGCGUCUCGACGGUGAAGCUGCGGAAGGACAUAAUGAAUCCGAGAGGGGUUGUAGCUGGCCUCUAGGAGGCAUGUGCACACCCUGCUCUACACACUUACACCUGUGCACACUCUGUAGGUCGGUUUGAGCGGCUCUCUCUCACGGGGGAUGCUGUUUGGCCUUCCUAUGUUUUAUAACAAACUCUGUAAUGUCAUAGAAUGUCAUCGCGUAUAACGCAUUAUAAUACAACUUUCAGCAACGGAUCUCUUGGCUCUCGCAUCGAUGAAGAACGCAGCGAAAUGCGAUAAGUAAUGUGAAUUGCAGAAUUCAGUGAAUCAUCGAAUCUUUGAACGCACCUUGCGCUCCUUGGUAUUCCGAGGAGCAUGCCUGUUUGAGUGUCAUGGAAUUCUCAACCCCUCUUAUCCUUGUGGUGAGAUUGGGUUGGAUUUGGAGGCUUAUGCUGGCUUGUAACGAGUCGGCUCCUCUUGAAUGCAUUAGCUUGGACCUUUGUGGACCAGCUUUUCGGUGUGAUAAUUGUCUACGCCGUGGGCUGCGAUGCUGUUUAACAUGCUUCGGCGUGUUGGGGUUCUGCUUCUAAUGGUCCCUUUAGUGGGACAACUUACUUUGACUUCUGACCUCAAAUCAGGUAGGAUUACCCGCUGAACUUAAGCAUACGAUAACCGCGAGAGAGAAAAA